UGGGGAAUAUUGCACAAUGGGCGAAAGCCUGAUGCAGCAACGCCGCGUGAAGGAUGAAGGGUUUCGGCUCGUAAACUUCUAUCAAUAGGGAAGAAACAAAUGACGGUACCUAAAUAAGAAGCCCCGGCUAACUACGUGCCAGCAGCCGCGGUAAUACGUAGGGGGCAAGCGUUAUCCGGAAUUACUGGGUGUAAAGGGAGCGUAGGCGGCAUGGUAAGCCAGAUGUGAAAGCCUUGGGCUUAACCCGAGGAUUGCAUUUGGAACUAUCAAGCUAGAGUACAGGAGAGGAAAGCGGAAUUCCUAGUGUAGCGGUGAAAUGCGUAGAUAUUAGGAAGAACACCAGUGGCGAAGGCGGCUUUCUGGACUGAAACUGACGCUGAGGCUCGAAAGCGUGGGGAGCAAACA
rnacentral:rRNA from 2 species